rnacentral:rRNA from 1 species
UACGUAGGGUGCGAGCGUUAAUCGGAAUUACUGGGCGUAAAGCGUGCGCAGGCGGUUCUGUAAGCCAGAUGUGAAAUCCCCGGGCUUAACCUGGGAAUGGCAUUUGGGACUGCAAGGCUGGAGUGCGGCAGAGGAGACUGGAAUUCCUGGUGUAGCAGUGAAAUGCGUAGAUAUCAGGAGGAACACCGAUGGCGAAGGCAGGUCUCUGGGCUGACACUGACGCUCAUGCACGAAAGCGUGGGGAGCAAACAGG